rnacentral:rRNA from 1 species
GCUCACUGCUAUGGGAGUACGACUAAGCCAUGCGAGUCUCCGCUUUUGCGGGGCGAACGGCUGAGUAACACGUAGCUAACCUACCCUUGGGUGGGGGAUAACCUCGGGAAACUGAGGAUAAUACCCCAUAGGAGAUGUGAUCUGGAAGGACACAUCUUUGAAACCUUCUGGGCCCAAGGAUGGGGCUGCGGCGGAUUAGGUUGAUGUUAGGGUAACUGCCUAACAUGCCUAUAAUCCGUAGGGGCUGUGAGAGCAGUAGCCCCCAGAUGGACUCUGAGACACGAGUCCAGGCCCUACGGGGCGCAGCAGGCGCGAAACCUUCCCAAUGCGCGCAAGCGUGAGGGGGGUACUCCCAGUGCCCUCUACCAGGGGGCUUUUCUUCGGUGCAAAAAGCCGAAGGAAUAAGGGGUGGGCAGGACCGUUGCCAGCCGCCGCGGUAAUAACGGCGCCCCGAGUGGUGAGCUCUUUUAUUGGGCCUAAAGGGUCCGUAGCCGGGUGUGUGAGUCCUCUGUGAAAUCCUUUAGAAGACUAAAGGGCUUGCAGAGGAUACUGCACAUCUUGGGACCAACAGGGGCCGAGGGUACUCGCAGGGUAGGGGUGAAAUCCUGUAAUCCUGCGGGGACCAUCAGUGGCGAAGGCGCUCGGCUGGGGUGGUUCCGACGGUGAGGGACGAAAGCCAGGGGAGCAAACCGGAUUAGAUACCCGGGUAGUCCUGGCUGUAAACGAUGCUCGUUAGGUAUUGGAGACCUUUCGUGGGUCUUCAGUGCCGUAGCGAAGGCGUUAAACGAGCCUCCUGGGGAGUACGGUCGCAAGGCUGAAACUUAAAGGAAUUGGCGGGGGAGUACACAAGGGGUGGAGUCUGCGGUUU